UUUAAUAGUUAAGAGAGAGGUGCCGGUUCGAUGCGUAGCAUCAGAAAUCGGCUUAAAAGGGAAGCACGGUGCAAAUCCGGCGCGGUCCCGCCACUGUAAAUGCGGAGCGGCUCUUAGAGCGGCCACUGUCCGGCUGUAAGGAUGGGAAGGCCAAGAGCAGCGAUGAGGCAUAAGCCAGGAGACCUGCCUUUUUCGUGAACGUUUC
rnacentral:ncRNA from 2 species